CUGAGGCUCAGAGCAGACCAAGUCCACAGGAAUGGAUCCCGCACAACAGAGCACUUGCAUGCUUCCUCACCAAAGCUACUGAGGGGGCCCAAGGGACCGCACCAAUUGGGGUGGCGAAAACGACCACCGGCACACGCUUGGCUGAGGAGGCAGAUUAAGAGAUAUGGCGGUAAGAGCCGCUGGAACCGACUCCCGCCCUGUACCAACUGCCGAGCAGGAAAAGGGCCACAAUAAGAGCAGGACGGGUCUUAACUGCCACAGAGGCCUGAC